GAAUAAUGCUUUUUCCUUAUGAAUUCAGUGGGAUUCCUCCUUCGAUGUAGACGGCAUGAUUAUGCAUCUUUCCCUUGCUCCUGACAAGGGCAUUUACUAAAGAGCGCAGGAGAUUUUAUCAUCCCCAUUUUCUGAGGCAGAAAGGAGCGUCUAGUCCAAGGAGGAAACACUGGAAUGAUAUGUAAGCCCUGUGAUCUGUGUCUUCUCCUGGUACUGCUCUCCUUGUUAGUGCCAAAAGAAGUAAGCGUGUCAGGGUGAGGGGGGAAUGUGGCUUCUGCAGGCACAAGCGCUACACCAGGGUGCAGGCUCUGCCACACCCUGCACCCCUCUCAGUACCGAAGUCGUGAAGUCAUUGCUACUGCUGAUCUCAAGGUUGACGGAACUGAGGCUCCUUCCCAAGGAGGCCAGCGAGGUCUCUCCAAAUUGGGUAGAAGAAACUGACAUCACGUGGUGUAGCCACUGCUGUUGGGCCUCCAGGACCAGCUGCACUGGGGCUGGCAGAGGAGCAGGCCAGGGUGAUGAAGAGGAAAGCUUCGUCUCAUGGGCUUCUGAUGGCACAAGGCGCCCAGAGAUCUCACACAAGCAGGUGCAAUUGCAGCCCACUGCAAGGCCAGCUGACAUUUCAGUCAACCUUUGACAUCUGACAGAUAAAUAUGCUUCUUUCCCUGGGGAUCCUGGAAUACUGGAAUGCCCACGGAGACCCGAGACAUCCCAUCUACCUUCGAAGGCACCACUGCUUUGAAGUGCAGACCAUCACAAUUAAGGAACUGAUGAAGGAGGACAUUUGGAACCAAUGUGCCACUUAGGAAAAGAUCACCUUGGGACAGAAAGGUCAUGUUUGGAAUUUUAAAAAACCAGUGAGAAGCAGCUCUGAAUAGGGAGGGGGUCAGGUUUUGUGAAGUCUGAACCUUAUGGCAUCUGGUGGUGGAAAGGCCUUUCCAACAUGGAGACUGUAAAAUGACAAACACAAAAUUAAUAUGGGAACUGCAUGGAUCCUUGUCUUAGUCACCUUAUUCGUCACUGAGAUGCAAUACAAAUUAUGUGCUUUGUGUGAGACACAAAUUAACAGAGGAGAGUUUAUAGGGGUUUCAGUCGAUAGUCUUCUGGCUCCGAGGCAGGACAACAUGGCGGAGGGACAUGGCGGAAGAGAAGCUGCUCACUUCAUGGAAGCCAGGAAGCAGAGAGUGAAGGGUUGAGCGGGAGGACAGAUACACCCUUCCAGAUCACACCCCCAGUGACCCACCUCUUCUGACCAGACCCCACCUCAUAACAGCAGAUCAGCUAUGAGUCCCCAUAAUCCAAUCGCCUUCUAAAAGCCCACCUUGAUUCCGUGAGGAUAGCAAGACAUAAACCGUAACAGCCCUGAAUUUCUAGGCUUCCCAGCUUCCCAGUAAGUCUGCUGUGGCCCUGUGGAAAGCCUCCUUCUUAGUCUCAGGCCAUCCUAAAAGAACUGAGAGCCAGUUGCCUGGUCUGCCCUGCAGACCCUCUCCCCAGAAUAGCAGUAGUUACCAACUGCUCUGACAUCUGACUCUCAACCUGACCCUCUGGCCUUUGGCUCAGUCUGUACGAAGCCCCCUCAGACUCUCAACCACUGCUUUGUGCCAGGCAUUGGGGUUAGAAACCAGAUUAAGUCAGUUUAGCCCAUAAGGAAAGAGCAUAGUAACAGAAAUGACAAACAUAUAAAGCAAUGUCUAAGAUGGAGGUUAGCAAUGGGUGUUUGGGAAUACUCACAAACAGCUUGCAAGCACCCAAGAAGGGGUGAUCUGCUUAACAAUGGAAGGAGAGAAGGUAGACACGCAAGGAUAAAGAUCAGUUCACCAAGUGUGAUGGUUAAUUGUGGUGUCAACUUUAUUUAUUUAUUUAUUUAUUUUUGGUUUUUGAGACAGAGUCUCACUAGGUAGUUGAGACUGACCUGGAACUCACUAUGUAGUCAAGGCUGGGCUCGAACUCACAGUGAUCCUCCUGCCUCAGCCGCCUGAGUGCUGGGAUUACAGGCGUGCACCACCACGCCAGGCUGUGAUGUCAAUUUUAAUGGAUUAAGAAACACCUAGCAAAACAGUGGAGCACAGUUCUAUGCGCAUCUGUAGAUGAUUGACAUAUAAGCCACAAACUGAGGCAGAAAGACCCACCCCACAUGUGGGUGGCACUAGGCUUGCAGGCUGGGUGGAAUUAAAAAAGUGGGGGUGGGAGUCUUCCCUUUUGUUCCUUUAGAUUUUUGGUCUUCACCUUUGCCUUUGUAGGUUGGUCUCCAGUUUCUUCAGGCUUCGAGUACAGACCCUUCAGCGUUCUGAGGUGGACUCACACCAGACUCUGCAGUGAGCUCCAGGCCUUCAACCCUUGACUGGAUCCUCCAACUCUGCAGCACGUAGACAGCCAUUUUGCAUUCUUCCACCCCUGUUCUUUCAGGCAGCUAUUUACUUAGUAAAUUCUUUGUCUAUCUCAUAUGUGUGUGUAUGUUUUAUAUUAAAUGUGUUCCUCUAGUGAACCCUAACCAAUGUACCAAGCCAAC
rnacentral:lncRNA from 1 species